rnacentral:rRNA from 1 species
UACGUAGGGUGCAAGCGUUGUCCGGAAUUAUUGGGCGUAAAGAGCUCGUAGGCGGUCUGUCGCGUCGGCUGUGAAAACCCGGGGCUCAACCCCGGGCCUGCAGUCGAUACGGGCAGGCUAGAGUGCUGUAGGGGAGACUGGAAUUCCUGGUGUAGCGGUGAAAUGCGCAGAUAUCAGGAGGAACACCGGUGGCGAAGGCGGGUCUCUGGGCCGAUACUGACGCUGAGGAGCGAAAGCGUGGGGAGCGAACAGG